rnacentral:tRNA from 1 species
GGGGUUAUGGCUCAGCGGUAGUGCACUUGCCUGAUAUGCAUGAAGCACUGGGUUCGAGUCUUAGCACCA